rnacentral:ncRNA from 2 species
AAUCCUUCAGGGCAGGGUGAAAUUCCCGACCGGCGGUAUAGUCCGCGAGCUGUAGUGAGUAAUCACUGUGGCAGACCUGGUGAGACUCCAGGACCGACAGUAAAGUCUGGAUGGAAGAAUCGGAUA